rnacentral:rRNA from 1 species
UACAGAGGUCUCAAGCGUUGUUCGGAUUCAUUGGGCGUAAAGGGUGCGUAGGCGGCGCGGUAAGUCGGGUGUGAAAUCCCCGAGCUCAACUUGGGAAUUGCAGUGGAUACUGGCAGGCUGGAGUACGGUAGAGGAAGGUGGAAUUCCCGGUGUAGCAGUGAAAUGCGCAGAUAUCAGGAGGAACACCGGUGGCGAAGGCGGGUCUCUGGGCCGAUACUGACGCUGAGGAGCGAAAGCGUGGGGAGCGAACAGG